ACAGGUGUUGCUACAUGGAGUAGGUUUUCUGCAACGUAAAUAAAAGCUUUCUGCACCAUGUACACCAUUGACACCUGCCUUGGAUGUGGAAGACUAUAUAAAAACUGCACACCAGGAUAUGUUGGGACAGGAAAAAGGGGAACGCUAGAAGCAAUCUAUUCUGAAGCUGAAGAUCCGGGAUACUGCAAUCACUUCUGCAGCCAAUUGCAAUAGAUGUCUCUCUUGCCUGUCCUCCAGCCCCUGCACGUCGAGAGGAGCAGACACCCGUUUGUGCCCAGAGGACAUUACUCACAUGUUGGACUUUUGAGAAUACAUGACACUGUUAUUGUUGUAAAUAUAUAUAUAGUUACAUGUCCUUAAGAUGUUUGUGUUAAUGUUUGUGUUGUUGUUUCUGCAUACAAGGUUGACCUGUACUUAGUUAGUUUCGAUUGAAUAUGCAUGUUAAGUACUACCUUAGUUUGUUUCAUUAGUCACUUUUGUUGUACAUAGUAACUUUAAAUUGUUACCCUUUUUCCACAUUUGUAUAUAGUCACUGUUAGUACCGGGAAGCAGUAGGAGUGAGCUGCCUUUUCUUUUGACUUGUUUUUUCAUAGUUUAGGAUGUUAGUUUUAGUGAUGGUCUUUAUUAUUUACUUUGACAUAGGGUUUAGGUAGCUUGAACUUCCCUUUAAAAUCUAGUUUGUUUUGUUUAAUUAUUUUGGCCUUGGUUCACUCCGAAGAGAAGCUUCAUUUUCAGUUUGGUGUAUUGUUUGUGUGCUAAGCAGCAAUAAACUGCUUGUCAUUUUGACUACGCGUGUGUGGACUCCUAUAUAUGUUAGGCAAAUAAUGUACAAAAAACAUGAGAAGCAUUGUGAUUUUUC